rnacentral:lncRNA from 1 species
AGUGAAGGGAGAAGUGCUACACACUUUCAAACAACCAGAUCUCAUGAAAACUCACUAUCACAAGAACAGCAAAAGGGAAAUCCACCCAUGAUCUAAUCAUCUCCCACCAGCUCCCUCUCGCAACAUUGGGAAUUACAGUUCAACAUGCGAUUUGGUGGGGACACAGAGCCAAACCAUAUCACACCCCAUUCAAAGCUAUGAGAUUAUAAAAUGGUCCUUCUCCUGUCACUCAGCUGACUGUAAAUUCAUGCUGGCACAUCCACACCACGGCAGACAGACACUGCUUGGGAGUUCUGUUCUGUCAUCAACGGAGCUGUGAUGACCGUGGAUGUCACUGGUAGUGGCCAACAUUUCUGCAGCUCCUUCUCAGUUACAUCCUCAACACAAACUCCUCACCAGGUAUGAUGGUUUUCAGGAUCUGAUCCCUGUCCCAUCUCUGUUCUCAUUUC